ensembl:lncRNA
CAGGCCUCUGUCCGGAGGCGCCCUCCGCUGGGAAUCUCACCCUUCCUCUCCCUCUUCGUCGUCCUUGGAGGCCCGAACCCACACCUUCAGGGCUCCUCCCACCGCCCGGCCCGGGCCACCAGGCCGUUAACCUCUGGGGGAAUCCGAGCAGCUCUGCACCUCCUCCCGCCCGGGCCGGGGCGUGACUGGUGCUGCGCGCGUGCGCAGAGCCCUGAGCGGGGCCCAGGGAGGGGCCGGUUGCGCCCCCUCUCCCCAGAGAGGGGACAGAUAGGGCGGCGGGAGAGGGGUUAAGAUAAGGACUUCAAGAGCGAGUUUCUCCUCCCCACGUUGGGACGCUGGCCCUGGGUUCCCGACCCUCUGCGGGCGCGCAUCUCGGGCCGUCGCAGGCGGGAGGGUGGGAUGGGGCCUCGGGCGGCGCGCGCCGCGGUUCCCACCGGCUACAUGCACAUCCCUGCCCCACGAGAGCCCCGGUGACCCACGCUGGUAAAACUCAAACAGGGCAGAAGCAUUAAAAUAACCACCCUCGUCCCACAGCCUUGCCUCGCGAAGGAAUCCCGGCCUCCGGUUCGGGAGCAUCCUCCCAGGCCUCCUCCAGAACAUUCGCUCACACACGGAUACUCAGGCUCGCAGACGUAUACGGACGCACACGCAUAUGUACGCCGACACACGUGCACCCAGACUCACAGGAACACGCGGACACGUGGGAACACUGAUUACGUAAAGAGCAUUCCCCCUCCUCAGCUUCCUCUGUCUGUGGACCAGCUCCGCGCACCAGCUCUGAAGGUGUUUCCAUUUGGUGAAGGCACUUGGUGGCCUUGCACGCUGCACGAGUUCUGAGCUUCAGAAUGUGUCACUGCAGGCUGUUGGGUUCAGGAGCCAGUCUCACACAGGUGAAUCCCGACAGGACCCACAGACAGAUGAGGACGGAGACAGGAGGAGACUGAGUCUGCAGUGUGCCAACCCUGGGCUGCCCCUGUGCUUGGCUGCCACACUGUCUCACCUGGGUCUGGGCUGAGGACCUGGCCCUGGAGACCAAGGACAUUCCAGAGCUUUGGUUUGGAAUCCUCAGUUCCGUGGACGUGGAUGUCCUCGUGGAGUGUGCACGAGCCAGACAGGCCUGGGCUGGAGCUCGUGCCUCUGCUCUCUGCGAGUCUGUUUCCCCAUGGUCAGAUGGGAGAGUGAGGGCUCCCAGCUUGCAGAAGGGCAGGAACUGGUGCUGUUGACCCGGGGUGGCACUGGCAUGAUCUGGAGAAGAACCUGGCUUCUGGUUUGGGGUUGGCCCCCACCCGUGAGGCUGGCACCUGUUUUGUCUGUGGACAGGUUAUGCUGUGAGAUUGUCUUUGCCAGUAAUUUAUUUAACACAAGUUCACUGGGAUUAUAACAAUUUCACAAGCCAGUAGCAUACAGGAUAAUGUCUCUUAAUAAGGCAAUAAAGAAAUAAAAAGGGGCUGGCCCUGCGGCCUAGUGGUUAAGUUUGGCACGCUCCACUUCGGCAGUCUGGGUUUGGUUCCUGGGCACAGACCUACACCACUUGUCAGCAGCCACACUGUGGCAGCAGCUCGCUCACAAAAUAGAGGAAGAUUGGCACAGAUGUUACCUUAGGGCAAAUCUUCCUCAGCAAAAAAAGAAAAAGAAAGAAAUUGUAUACUCCAAACCAAUGAUCGACUAAUUACACUCUUGUUCCAGGCAAAGGGGAGAGGAAAGAAAUAAAGUCCAAAUUUACUUGAGGUGUCCCUUUCUCUGAGCUGAUUCUUGGACAAGUCGACUUAGAGCUGACAUCCAGCUGCCAUUGCAAAGUUCCAGCUGUUCCCUGGCCACAGUCGCUCUGCCACGGUUCUUGUGGAGAAGACCCCAGCAGCGCCUGUCACCUGCGCUCCUGCGUGCUUACAGACAACAAAUGACGAAUGUCAACGACGGCUUCCUGGCACGGCUUCCUCAGCGUGGACAACCUCAGAUGGGGCAGCUCCACUCUUGUCCUACAUAAGUGGGCUUGAAGUCGCGUCAAACCGAGACACAGCAGCCCCGCGUCCCAUGCUGCAGACAUCCACACCCGACUGGGGUGGUUUGUGUGCCGCAUGCGGUUGGAAUUCCUCCCCAGAAACAGGGCAGACUUCUCCAACCGGUUUUUAUUUUGUCCUUAAGCCACAUAUUUGAAAAUUGCUUAAUCAAAGAGGGUCAUGAACUAAAUCUCAGGCCUGGCUCUGGGGCCCCAGGAGGGGAGUUCGUGAACGUGGGCAUCACUGGGCAGCUGAUGGCUCCCUCCGGGUCCCUGUGCACGCCCUGUCUCGGUGGACUGGGUCUCCCACCUGGCCACGGCCAUUGAUUGAGGGCCUACUAUGUGCCAGGCAAGGUCUUGGGUGUUUCCCACAAACGCUCUUGCGCACAACCACCCUGGGAAGGAGGGUGGCUACCCCCACUUUGCAAGUGAGGAAGCUAAAGCUCAGAGAUGAAGUGGCUUGCCCUAGUUCACCCAGCGGGUGAGAGGCAGAGCUGGGAUGUCAGAUGCCAGAUCCCACAUCCUCUGUCUGUGUCCAGAGGCUGUCUGCCCCUCGGGCAGGACGGGAAGACCAAGACCACAGACAUAGUGACCUGUGUCACUGGGAGAGAGCGGAAGAGAGAUGAGCCUCUGGCUCAGGCAGACAAAUCAGGGAAGCUUCUGGGAGGUGGCCCUCGGCCUUGGCAUGAGGGAUCUAGAGAGAGAUGGGAAGGCAUGCAGGAUAAGAGAUUUGUGAAUACAGGGAGGCAGUGGGAGCGAUUGUGGGAUGUGGCUGGAGGAGCGCACUCAGGCAGAUGGGCCAGUGCUGGCCUGGUCUGGGCUCACUGGGACAGACCGGGUGCAGACUGUCCUGGGAGAGAGGCCAGCGUGGGCUGGGCGUGAGGGCCUGCGCCACCAUCUUCCUGCGCACAGCGUCACCGGUGAGAAGUCUGUGGCCAGGCUGACUUGUUCUUUUGGAGGUAAUUUAUUUCCUGUCUCUUCUUGGAGGCUUUCGGGAUUUUUCUCUUUGUUUGGGUGCUCAGAAAUUUCUCUACGGUGUUCCUAGAGGGUGAUGUCUGGCUUUUUUGUUGUUAUUGUUUCAUUUUGUGUUCACUUUUUAAUUAAAGUGUGACGCAUAUAAAACAUACACAUCUUAAGCAUACGGCUCGAGGAGCUUUUACGUUUGUCUCCACUCACGUAACCACCACCUCAGUGCAGAUGCAGACCACUGCUUCCAGGCCCCCUUCCAUCCCCGGAGGAAACGAUUAGUUUUGCCUGUUUUUGGACUGCCUGUGAAUGGGAACAUACAGUUGGGUACUUUUUCAUACUUUUUAAAAAUAAUCUUUUAGAAUUUGAGAACAGCUUUAGAUUUACACAGUUACUGGGAAGAUAAUACGGAGAGUUCUUGCAUACUGAGUGCCCGUUUCCCCUUUUAUUAACAUCUUAGUGCGGUAGAUCUGUGAAAAGUGAUAAACACUGAGACACUGUUACUAACUAGACUCCAUUCUUUAUUUGGAUUUCCUCAGUUUUCCCCUGAUGUCCUUUUUCUGUCCCAAGAUCCCGUCCAGGCCUCCACAGGAUGUUCAGUCGUCAUAGCUUCUCAGGCUCCUGUGGGCUGUGACAGUUGCUCUGACUUGCCUUGUUUGUGAUGAUCUUGGCGGUUUUUCAGAGGACUGGCUGGGUAUUUUGUAUAAUAUUUCUCAACUGGGAUUUGUCUGAUGUUUUUCUCCUGAUUAGUCGAGUUACGGGUUUUGGGGAGGACUGCCACAGAGGCCGUUCUUAGAACAUUGUACUGUGGGGGACUGGCAUUGGCCACCCCAAGAUAUGUCUCUUUGGCACAAGGAUUAUUUGGGGCUGGUUACUUUUAAUAAACUGCAGACAGGAAGGAGGCUCUGAGGAGUGGAACUUGCUUGCCCUUUGUUAGGAGACAUUUACAUUGUAAAGGAAAUCUCCAUCUGUAAAGAUGUCUCCCUCUCUGUACCAGGAAGAAGGGGGGAUGACCUUAUCUUUAGAAACUCUUAAUCAGUGCCAAAGGCAAGGACUUAAAUCUGUGUUUGUUUAUUGUACUUGUCUGGUAACCUCCUGUAACUGACUCCCCCCACCCACAACAUCCUCCUUUGUCUUUAGCUGGAUAUGAUAUUUAAGAUGGGGGCUUCAGCCAUUUUGGC